GAUGAACGCUGGCGGCGUGCCUAAUACAUGCAAGUCGAGCGAACAGACGAGGAGCUUGCUCCUCUUACGUUAGCUGCGGACGGGUGAGUAACACGUGGAUAACCUACCUAUAAGACUGGGAUAACUUCGGGAAACCGGAGCUAAUACCGGAUAAUAUAUUGAACCGCAUGGUUCAAUAUUGAAAGACGGUUUUGCUGUCCCUUAUAGAUGGCUCCGCGCGGCAUUGGCUAGUUGUGAAGGAAACGGCUUACCAAGGCAACGAUGCGUGGCCGACCUGAGAGGGGGAUGGGCAACACUGGAACUGAGACCCGGUCCAGCGUCCUAGGGGAGGCACCAGUAGGGAAUCUUCGGAAAUGGGCGAAAGCCUGCCGGACCAACGCGGGGUGAGUGAUGAAGGUCUUCGGAUCGUAAAACUCUGUUAUUAGGGAAGAACAAAUGUGUAAGUAACUAUGCACGUCUUGACGGUACCUAAUCAGAAAGCCACGGCUAACUACGUG
rnacentral:rRNA from 1 species